GAACGAGAAAGUGGAGCAAUCCAUGAGUAAAGUGGCGACCGGGUGAGUAACACGUGACUAACCUACCCUCGAGUGGGGAAUAACUCCGGGAAACCGGGGCUAAUACCGCAUAACACCGCAAGGUCAAAGCAGCAAUGCGUUUGGAGAGGGGGUCGCGGCUGAUUAGCUAGUUGGCGGGGUAACGGCCCACCAAGGCGAAGAUCGGUAUCCGGCCUGAGAGGGCGCACGGACACACUGGAACUGAAACACGGUCCAGACUCCUACGGGAGGCAGCAGUGGGGAAUUUUGCGCAAUGGGGGAAACCCUGACGCAGCAACGCCGCGUGGAGGAUGAAGCCCUUUGGGGCGUAAACUCCUUUCGACCAAGACGAUAAUGACGGUACUGGUGGAAGAAGCACCGGCUAACUCUGUG
rnacentral:rRNA from 1 species